CCCCUUCCCCACGCUACCUCUCUCUCUCUCAAGCAGCUCACGAAGCAAAGGCAAGACUCUUUAAAGCUCGCAAUCGCAACAGCUGCUCGCCAUUUAUGGAGUCAGUUGCUUUGAAUUGGUUCGUCGUGUCGGUCGUUAAACGCUUUCGUAACGGGACGUUACGUUUAUACGGUGCGUCUUGGUGCUCCGGGUCUGUUAGCUGCCGUGCACAAACAAUAAUAAUAAUAAUAAUAAUAAUAAUAAAGAAAAAUAAAUACGAUAAUACACAAUACACAAUACACACUGUGUAAGCGACAUACACAUUUUCGACUGUCUACAAGUUGCGCGCGUUAUGCAAAUCCAAAACGCAGAAGUUAAUUUGCAAAGACAGCGAAAUUAUCAAGAAAACAAACAAAAAAAAAUACUGCAGACGAGUACAACAAAA